UUUCCGUAGGUGAACCUGCGGAAGGAUCAUUAUUGAAUGAAACACUUCUGGCUUUAUGCUGUUGUGCUGGCCCUUUGGGCAAUGUGCACACGGCUCUGGUCACUUGUUUCUUCUGUUCCACCUGUGCACUGCCUGUAGACACGCUGUGUCUAUGAUAUUGUUAACACACAACAAUGUUAGUUGGCAUGUUAUAUAUAAUAAUAAAAUAUACAACUUUCAACAACGGAUCUCUUGGCUCUCGCAUCGAGAAGAACGCAGC
rnacentral:misc_RNA from 1 species